GUGCCAGCAGCCGCGGUAAGACGAACCGAGCGAACGUUGUUCGGAAUCACUGGGCUUAAAGGGCGCGUAGGCGGGUGACUAAGUCUGUGGUGAAAUCCGGCAGCUUAACUGUCGAAUUGCCAUGGAUACUGGUUGUCUCGAGGGAGGCAGGGGUGCGCGGAACUAAUGGUGGAGCGGUGAAAUGCGUUGAUAUCAUUAGGAACUCCGGUGGCGAAGGCGGCGCACUGGUCCUCUUCUGACGCUGAGGCGCGAAAGCCAGGGGAGCAAACGGGAUUAGAUACCCCUGUAGUCC
rnacentral:rRNA from 1 species